GACGAACGCUGGCGGCAUGCUUUACACAUGCCAGUCGGACGGGAAGUGGUGUUUCUAGUGGCGGACGGGUGAGUAACGCGUAAGAACCUGCCCUUGGGAGGGGAACAACAGCUGGAAACGGCUGUUAAUACCCCGUAGGCUGAGGAGCGAAAGGAGGAAUCCGCCCUAGGAGGGGCUCGCGUCUGAUUGGCUAGGUGGUGAGGUAAUAGAUUACCAAGGCCGUGAUCAGUAGCUGGUCUGAGAGGAUGAUCAGCCACACUGGGACUGAGACGAGGCGCAGACUCCUGGAGGAAGCAGCAGUGAAGAAUUUACCACGGUGGGCGAAAGCCUGACGCAGCGAUGCGGGGUGGAGGUAAACGGCCGGGGGGUCAUGAGCUUCUGUUUCUGAAGAAGAGAGAGUGACGGUAUCUGGUGAAUAAGCAUCGGCUAACUCUGUG
rnacentral:rRNA from 1 species